GCGGCUGAAGAAUGCAUGGAGGUUGUGAUGUAUUAGUGGUAGUUAGCGGUGGUGCUAGUUGUGAUAGAUGAGUUGGUCGAUAAUAGGGAUUGACCGGUAGUGGUUGAUGAUGGUGGUGCUGUUGACGGUGGUGGUGGUGGUGAAUAUAAUUAGAAUAAUAGAGAUAGUAGGUAUAGUAGCGGUUGACAAUAGUGGUUAAUAGUGAUAUUUGUUGUCAAUGGUGGUUGUGAUGGUGGAGGUGGUUGGUGGUAGUGGGUGGUGGUUGACAAUGGUGGCGGUGGCAGAGGUGGUUAAUGGGGGUGACUAAUGAUUAUGAAUAGAGUGCCGG
rnacentral:lncRNA from 1 species